rnacentral:rRNA from 1 species
GAUGAACGCUAGCUACAGGCUUAACACAUGCAAGUCGAGGGGCAGCAUGAACUUAGCUUGCUAAGUUUGAUGGCGACCGGCGCACGGGUGAGUAACACGUAUCCAACCUUCCGUUUACUCAGGGAUAGCCUUUCGAAAGAAAGAUUAAUACCUGAUAGUAUGGUGAGAUUGCAUGAUAACACCAUUAAAGAUUUAUUGGUAAACGAUGGGGAUGCGUUCCAUUAGGUAGUAGGCGGGGUAACGGCCCACCUAGCCUGCGAUGGAUAGGGGUUCUGAGAGGAAGGUCCCCCACAUUGGAACUGAGACACGGUCCAAACUCCUACGGGAGGCAGCAGUGAGGAAUAUUGGUCAAUGGGCGAGAGCCUGAACCAGCCAAGUAGCGUGAAGGAUGACUGCCCUAUGGGUUGUAAACUUCUUUUAUAAGGGAAUAAACCCUCCACGUGUGGGAGCUUGUAUGUACCUUAUGAAUAAGCAUCGGCUAACUCCGUGCCAGCAGCCGCGG